GACGAACGCUGGCGGCGUGCCUAAUACAUGCAAGUUGAGCGCUGAAGGUUGGUACUUGUACCAACUGGAUGAGCAGCGAACGGGUGAGUAACGCGUGGGGAAUCUGCCUUUGAGCGGGGGACAACAUUUGGAAACGAAUGCUAAUACCGCAUAAAAACUUUAAACACAAGUUUUAAGUUUGAAAGAUGCAAUUGCAUCACUCAAAGAUGAUCCCGCGUUGUAUUAGCUAGUUGGUGAGGUAAAGGCUCACCAAGGCGAUGAUACAUAGCCGACCUGAGAGGGUGAUCGGCCACAUUGGGACUGAGACACGGCCCAAACUCCUACGGGAGGCAGCAGUAGGGAUCUUCGGCAAUGGACGAAAGUCUGACCGAGCAACGCCGCGUGAGUGAAGAAGGUUUUCGGAUCGUAAAACUCUGUUGGUAGAGAAGAACGUUGGUGAGAGUGGAAAGCUCAUCAAGUGACGGUAACUACCCAGAAAGGGACGGCUAACUACGUG
rnacentral:rRNA from 1 species